UACGGAGGGUGCAAGCGUUAUCCGGAUUCACUGGGUUUAAAGGGUGCGUAGGUGGUUUGAUAAGGGUGUGGUGAAAGCCCGGAGCUCAACUCCGGGUCUGCCGUGCCGACUGUCAAACUCGAGGGCUGUAGAGGCAGACGGAAUUCCGGGUGUAGCGGUGGAAUGCGUAGAGAUCCGGAGGAAGACCGGUGGCGAAGGCGGUCUGCUGGGCAGUUUCUGACACUGAGGCGCGACAGCGUGGGGAGCAAACAGG
rnacentral:rRNA from 1 species